GACGUAGGGCGCGAGCGUUGUCCGGAUUUAUUGGGCGUAAAGAGCUCGUAGGCGGCUUGUCGCGUCGAGUGUGAAAUCCUGCGGCUCAACUGCAGGCUUGCAUUCGAUACGGGCAGGCUGGAGUUCGGUAGGGGAGACUGGAAUUCCUGGUGUAGCGGUGAAAUGCGUAGAUAUCUGGAGGAACACCGGUGGCGAAGGCGGCAUCCUGGACCGAUAUUGACGCUGAGGCGCGAAAGCCAGGGGAGCAAACGGG
rnacentral:rRNA from 1 species